GGCUGUGGCUCAGAGGUAAAGCGCUCGCCUACCAGGCGUGAGGCACUGGGUUCUAUCCUCAGCACCA
rnacentral:tRNA from 1 species